AUCUUUGUGCAGUGGAAGUAUCGUAGCCAAUGAAGUUUAACCGAGGCAUGAUUGUUGUUAAUUAAAAGGAAGGUAACCACCAGUUUUCAGAGGCUGUAACCAUGCAGUAGAAGUCCUGGCAGACUUUCCUUUGAUAGAAGG
rnacentral:snRNA from 1 species